rnacentral:rRNA from 1 species
CAAUAGCGUAUAUUAAAGUCGUUGCAGUUAAAAAGCUCGUAGUUGGAUUUGUGGCGUACGGUGUGUUCCGGGCACUUGUUGUCUGAGUAACCUGCUGUUGCCAUCCUUGGGUGGAACCUGUGUGGCAUUAGGUUGUCGUGCAGGGGAUGCCCAUCAUUUACUGUGAAAAAAUUAGAGUGUUCAAAGCAGGCUUAUGCCGUUGAAUAUAUUAGCAUGGAAUAAUGAGAUAGGACUUUUUUGCUAUUUUGUUGGUUUGCGCAAAGAGGUAAUGAUUAAUAGGGACAGUUGGGGGUAUUCGUAUUCCAUUGUCAGAGGUGAAAUUCUUGGAUUUUUGGAAGACGAACUACUGCGAAAGCAUUUACCAAGGAUGUUUUCAUUAA